GAUGAAGAACGUAGCGAAAUGCGAUACGUAAUGUGAAUUGCAGAAUUCAGUGAAUCAUCGAGUCUUUGAACGCACAUUGCGCCCCCUGGUAUUCCGGGGGGCAUGCCUGUCCGAGCGUCAUUUGUACCUUCAAGCUUUGCUUGGUGUUGGGUGUUUGUCUCGCCUUUGCGUGUAGACUCGCCUUAAAAUAAUUGGCAGCCGGCGUAUUGAUUUCGGAGCGCAGUACAUCUCGCGCUUUGCACUCAUAACGACAGCGUCCAAAAGUACAUUUUACACUCUUGACCUCGGAUCAGGUAGGGAUACCCGCUGAACUUAAGCAUAUCAAUAAGCGGAGGA
rnacentral:misc_RNA from 1 species